AGAGAAGAAAACCAAAGGUUAAAGAAGAAUCGACACUAGCGAGCGCACUAGUAUCACACAGACGUGUGGGGAUUAGUUUUGCACAAUGCUAGAUGUCUCCUUUAUAUAGCCUUCAAAUCAGGGUUUUGCCUUAGUUACAAAGCAAUCCAUAUUCACUGUUAGAUGAAAACCUGAUUUAGAUUCAAGCUAAUAUUUCUCAACCGUUAGAUCGAAACUUAGCUUGUCACACACACUUGGGUAGACGUUUACUGGGUUUGUGAAAACCAUGCCCAAACGUGUAUGUUGGUUCAACAUAGUAACCCAAAAGGUUAACCAUAUGAGUAAUUCAUAUUAACCUAGUUCUUCUUCACCAUAACUAGUUCAAUUGACUCAAAUGAACUAGUUAGAGAGUUGUUCAAUUGCUAUGAGAUCUUAUGUAACUACACAAGACACAAUUGAAACAAAGAUGAUUCGAUUCGAUGAAUCGGCUCAUGAACUUUAUAGCCACAGUUUGCAUAAAGCAUUCCUUAGUAAUUUAAGUUUCAUGUUCAUAGCACAUCUUUAUAUCAUAACCAAUUAAGCUCACAAACAAGUUCGUGGACUUAAGACAACCGGCAGAGUUUUCCAAACUCAGCAGAAAAUCUCGGCAAAGAGACUUUCGCCAGUUCGCGGAUUAAACACGCGAACGAUUUUUUGGGAAAUCUCAGCAGAAAUUCUCGGCAAGAAAACUUCCGUCCGUUCGUGGACUUGGCAAAGCCAAUUCCUCCGGUUUCUCUCAAUCAACAAAGUUCGAAAACUUCGGAUUAAGGAAUACAUGGUUAUGUAAUAUAAACUCUCAUUCAAAUUAUUGAGACAUUCUCAGAGGACGUUAUGUAGCCGUUAUUCACAGACCGUUUCACGUCAGAGCAAUUCUCAAAGUAAUUGAAACUUUUCAUGACUUUCGUCACUAGGUGAAGAUAAACUUGAUCAAAGCGAAACGCCUUACCAACACACAAUUUCGAGAAAAAGAUAAGUAGUGAAUACUCAGCUCGAAAUGUCAAAUGUGUAUGAUCCAGUCUAUAUAGCAUACGACUUUUUGUCUCAUAAGAAGUAGGAGAUAGAAUAGAUAGACUUUUGAGUGAUAGAUAAGUUCAAGUCUCCACAUACCAUUUUGUUGAUGAAGUUCCAUGGUUCCUUGUAUAGAUCUUCGUCGUUGUAUGAUGAAUCGCCAUGAAGUCCUUGAGCUCAACUACACUUUUCUAUCCUAGUCCGAGACUUAGCUAUAAUAGACUAGAAAUCAAGACUCAUAGUUUUGAUCACUAACAUUGACAAACAUGCUUGAUAUAGCAACGCAUGCGAGGUCGACCUAGCUAUGCUCUAACACCCCGAAAACCUAAGGGUUCCUUCGCAAGGUUCGUCCACGGAGGGUGAGUCAGGGCCUAAGAUCAGGCCGAAAGGCGUAGUCGAUGGACAACAGGUGAAUAUUCCUGUACUACCCCUUGUUGGUCCCGAGGGAUGGAGGAGGCUAGGUUAGCCGAAAGAUGGUUAUCGGUUCAAGAACACAAGGUGACCUUAGGGUAAAAAAGGGGUAGAGAAAAUGCCUCAAGCCAAUGUCCGAGUACCAGGCGCCACGGCGCUGAAGUAACACAUGCCAUACUCCCAGAAAAAUCUCGAACGACCUUCAACAAAAGGGUACAUGUACCUGAAACCUCCACAGGUGGGUAGGUAUAUAAUACCUAGGGGCGUGAGCCAACUCUCUCUAAGGAACUCGACAAAAUAGCCCUGUAACUUCGGAGAAGGGGUGCCUCCUCACAAAGGGGGUCGCAGUGACCAGGCCUGGGCGAUUGUUUCCCUAAAACACAGGUCCCCGCAAAGUCGUAAGACCAUGUAUGGGGGCUGACGCCUUCCCAGUGCCGGAAGGUCAAGGAAGUUAUUGACCUGAUGACAGGGAAGACGGCGACCGAACCCCCAGUGAACGGCGGCCGUAACUAUAACGGUCCUAAGGUAGCGAAAUUCCUUGUUGGGUACGUUCCGACCCGCACGAAAGGCAUAACGAUCUGGGCACUGUCUCGGAGAGAGGCUCGGUGAAAUAGACAUGUCUGUCAAGAUGCGGACUACCUGCACCUGGGCAGAAAGACCCUAUGAAGCUUUAUUGUUCCCUGGGAUUGGCUUUGGGCUUUCCCCGCACAGCUUAGGUGGAAGGUGAAGAAGGCCUCCUUCCGGGGGGGCCCGAGCCAAAGUGAGAUACCACUCUGGAAGAGAUAGAAUUCUAACCUUGUGCCAGGACCUACGGGACAAGGGAUAGUCUCAGGUAGACAUUUUCUAUGGGGAUAGUCCUCCCAAAAGGUAACGGAGGCGUGCAAAGGUUUCCUCGGGUCGGACGGAGAUUGGCCCUCGAGUGCAAAGGCAGAAGGGAUCUUAACUGCAAGACCCACCCGUCGAUCAGGGACGAAAGUCGGCCUUAGUGAUCCGAAGGUGCCGAGUGGAAGGGUCGUCGCUCAACGGAUAAAAGUUACUAUAGGGAUAACAUUCUGAUCUUCCCCAAAAGUUCACAUCGACGGGAAGGUUUGGCACCUCGAUGUCGGCUCUUCGCCACCUGGGGCUGUAGUAUGUUCCAAGGGUUGGGUUGUUCGCCCAUUAAAGCGGUACGUGAGCUGGGUUUAGAACAUCGUGAGUGUUUUGGAGUAAAACCUGGGUGUGUUGAUGAGAAACGAGUUCAAGCCCUAAACAAAUGCAAUGCACGGGAAUGCUUUUAGGUUCGAGAAAUCAAUCUGUAAGACUCUGGCCUAAACCAAGAAAUGGUCGUUCCAGAUUCAAUUCGGUCACAAGGUGAAGGAGAAGGGUUGUUCUUAGGGAGGGAAGCGGAGAAGGUGUUUGAGAUCAGAGUGUUGAAUUAUGAAGGUGUGGUUGUUUAUGACUUGCGUAUCAGAAAAUGGUUUCUGGCUACUUUUGUUGAUAACACUUGUCUUCUCUUUUUCGAAAUAGAUUGAAAUUCUAUUUA
rnacentral:rRNA from 1 species